GAUGAACGCUGGCGGCGUGCUUAACAUAUGCAAGUCGAGCGAAGCAGUUAAGUUGAUUUCUUCGGAUUGAUUCUUGACUGACUGAGCGGCGGACGGGUGAGUAACGCGUGGGUGACCUGCCCCAUACCGGGGGAUAACAGCUGGAACCGGCUGCUAAUACCGCAUAAGCGCACAGAGCUGCAUGGCCCGGAGUGAAAAACUCCGGGGGUAUGGGAUGGGCCCGCGUCUGAUUAGGUAGUUGGCGGGGUAACGGCCCACUAAACCGACGAUCCGUAGCCGGACUGGGAAGGCGACCGUCCACAUUGGGACUGAGACACGGGCCAAACUCCUACGGGAGGCAGCAGUGGGGAAUAUUGCACAAUGGGGGAAACCAUGAUGCAGCGACGCCGCGUGAGCGAAGAAGUAUUUCGGUAUGUAAAGCUCUAUCAGCAGGGAAGAUGAAGACGGUACCUGACUAAGAAGCGCCGGCUAACUACGUGCAAGCCGCUGCGGUAA
rnacentral:rRNA from 1 species